rnacentral:rRNA from 1 species
UACGUAGGGGGCAAGCGUUGUCCGGUAUUAUUGGGCGUAAAGAGCGUGUAGGCGGCCAGGUAGGUCUGCUGUGAAAACUCGAGGCUCAACCUCGAGACGUCGGCGGAAACCAUCUGGCUAGAGUCCGGAAGAGGAGAGUGGAAUUCCUGGUGUAGCGGUGAAAUGCGCAGAUAUCAGGAAGAACACCCGUGGCGAAGGCGGCUCUCUGGGACGGUACUGACGCUGAGACGCGAAAGCGUGGGGAGCGAACAGG